AUUGAACGCUGGCGGCAGGCCUAACACAUGCAAGUCGAACGGUAACAGGAAGCAGCUUGCUGCUUCGCUGACGAGUGGCGGACGGGUGAGUAAUGUCUGGGAAGCUACCUGAUGGAGGGGGAUAACUACUGGAAACGGUAGCUAAUACCGCAUAAUGUCGCAAGACCAAAGAGGGGGACCUUCGGGCCUCUUGCCAUCGGAUGUGCCCAGAUGGGAUUAGCUUGUUGGUGGGGUAACGGCUCACCACGGCGACGAUCCCUAGCUGGUCUGAGAGGAUGACCAGCCACACUGGAACUGAGACACGGUCCAGACUCCUACGGGAGGCAGCAGUGGGGAAUAUUGCACAAUGGGCGCAAGCCUGAUGCAGCCAUGCCGCGUGUAUGAAGAAGGCCUUCGGGUUGUAAAGUACUUUCAGCGGGGAGGAAGGGAGUAAAGUUAAUACCUUUGCUCAUUGACGUUACCCGCAGAAGAAGCACCGGCUAACUCCGUG
rnacentral:rRNA from 1 species